CCUUCUACUCCUACGGGAGGCAGCAGUGGGGAAUAUUGCACAAUGGGCGCAAGCCUGAUGCAGCGACGCCGCGUGAGGGAUGACGGCCUUCGGGUUGUAAACCUCUUUCAGUAGGGAAGAAGCGAAAGUGACGGUACCUGCAGAAGAAGCGCCGGCUAACUACGUGCCAGCAGCCGCGGUAAUACGUAGGGCGCAAGCGUUAUCCGGAAUUAUUGGGCGUAAAGAGCUCGUAGGCGGUUUGUCGCGUCUGCCGUGAAAGUCCGGGGCUCAACUCCGGAUCUGCGGUGGGUACGGGCAGACUAGAGUGAUGUAGGGGAGACUGGAAUUCCUGGUGUAGCGGUGAAAUGCGCAGAUAUCAGGAGGAACACCGAUGGCGAAGGCAGGUCUCUGGGCAUUAACUGACGCUGAGGAGCGAAAGCAUGGGGAGCGAACAGGAUUAGAUACCCUGGUAGUCCAUGCCGUAAACGUUGGGCACUAGGUGUGGGGGACAUUCCACGUUUUCCGCGCCGUAGCUAACGCAUUAAGUGCCCCGCCUGGGGAGUACGGCCGCAAGGCUAAAACUCAAAGGAAUUGACGGGGGCCCGCACAAGCGGCGGAGCAUGCGGAUUAAUUCGAUGCAACGCGAAGAACCUUACCAAGGCUUGACAUGGACCGGACCGCCGCAGAAAUGUGUUUACCCCCUUG
rnacentral:rRNA from 1 species